UUAAGUGACUAAGCGUACACGGUGGAUGCCUUGGCAGUUGGAGGCGAUGAAGGACGUACUAACUUGCGAUAAGCCUAGUCAAGCCAGUAAGAGGCGCUUGAGACUAGGAUUUCCGAAUGGGGAAACCCACCUGCUUGCAGGUAUCGUUAACUGAAUACAUAGGUUAACGAGGCGAACGCGGAGAACUGAAACAUCUAAGUACCCGUAGGAAAAGAAAUCAACCGAGAUUCCGAAAGUAGCGGCGAGCGAAAUCGGAGCAGCCCUUAAGCUUUAGUGUAGUUAGUGGAAGAUGCUGGAAAGCAUGACGAAACAGGGUGAUAGUCCCGUACACAAAAACUUAUCUAAAGUGAAAUCGAGUAGGUCGGAGCACGUGAAACUUUGACUGAAUAUGGGGGGACCAUCCUCCAAGGCUAAAUACUCCCAACUGACCGAUAGUGAACCAGUACCGUGAGGGAAAGGCGAAAAGAACCCCUGUGAGGGGAGUGAAAUAGAACCUGAAACCGUGUACGUACAAGCAGUAGGAGCCUACUUGUUGGGUGACUGCGUACCUUUUGUAUAAUGGGUCAGCGACUUAUAUUCUGUAGCGAGGUUAACCAUUUAGGGGAGCCGUAGCGAAAGCGAGUCUUAACUGGGCGCUUAAGUUGCAGGGUAUAGACCCGAAACCCGGUGAUCUAGCCAUGGGCAGGUUGAAGGUUGAGUAACAUCAACUGGAGGACCGAACCCACUAACGUUGAAAAGUUAGGGGAUGACCUGUGGCUAGGAGUGAAAGGCUAAUCAAACCGGGAGAUAGCUGGUUCUCCCCGAAAUCUAUUUAGGUAGAGCCUCGGACGAAUACUUACGGGGGUAGAGCACUGUUAAGGCUAGGGGGUCAUCCCGACUUACCAACCCUUUGCAAACUCCGAAUACCGUAAAGUAAUAUCCGGGAGACACACGGCGGGUGCUAACGUCCGUCGUGGAGAGGGAAACAACCCAGACCGUCAGCUAAGGUCCCAAAGUGUAUGUUAAGUGGGAAACGAUGUGGGAAGGCUAAAACAGCUAGGAGGUUGGCUUAGAAGCAGCCACCCUUUAAAGAAAGCGUAAUAGCUCACUAGUCGAGUCGGCCUGCGCGGAAGAUGUAACGGGGCUAAACAUACCACCGAAGCUACGGCUGCGUACGUAAGUAUGCGGGGUAGGGGAGCGUUCUGUAAGUGGCUGAAGGUGUGCCGGGAGGCAUGCUGGACAUAUCAGAAGUGCGAAUGCUGACAUGAGUAACGACAAGAGGAGUGAAAAACUCCUCCGCCGGAAGACCAAGGGUUCCUAUCCCAUGUUAAUCAGGGUAGGGUGAGUCGACCCCUAAGGCGAGGCUGAAGAGCGUAGUCGAUGGGAAACGGGUUAAUAUUCCCGUACUCGGUAUGAAUGCGAUGGGGGGACGGAGCAGGCUAGGCAAGCAUGGCGUUGGUUGUCCAUGUGAAAGGCUGUAGGCUGGUGACUUAGGAAAAUCCGGGUUGCYAAGGCUGAGAGUCGAGACGAGCCACUAAGGUGGUGAAGUUGUUGAUGCCCUACUUCCAGGAAAAGCCUCUAAGCUUCAGUUCAUACUGAAUCGUACCCUAAACCGACACAGGUGGUCAGGUAGAGAAUACUAAGGCGCUUGAGAGAACUCGGGUGAAGGAACUAGGCAAAAUUGUACCGUAACUUCGGGAGAAGGUACGCUCUUGUUUGUUAAGGACUUGCUCUGUAAGCAAACGAGAGCCGCAGUGACCAGGUGGCUGGGACUGUUUAUUAAAAACACAGCACUGUGCAAAAUCGUAAGAUGACGUAUACGGUGUGACACCUGCCCGGUGCCGGAAGGUUAAUUGAUGGGGUUAGCUUAGGCGAAGCUCUUGAUCGAAGCCCCGGUAAACGGCGGCCGUAACUAUAACGGUCCUAAGGUAGCGAAAUUCCUUGUCGGGUAAGUUCCGACCUGCACGAAUGGUGUAACCAUGGCCACGCUGUCUCCACCCGAGACUCAGUGAAAUUGAAAUCGCAGUGAAGAUGCUGUGUACCCGCGGCUAGACGGAAAGACCCCGUGAACCUUUACUACAGCUUGGCACUGAACAUUGACCCUACAUGUGUAGGAUAGGUGGGAGGCUUUGAAGCAGGAACGCUAGUUUCUGUGGAGCCGACCUUGAAAUACCACCCUUGUAGUGUUGAUGUUCUAACUUAGGCCCCUGAAUCGGGGUUGAGGACAGUGCCUGGUGGGUAGUUUGACUGGGGCGGUCUCCUCCCAAAGAGUAACGGAGGAGCACGAAGGUUUGCUAAGUACGGUCGGACAUCGUACGGUUAGUGUAAUGGUAGAAGCAAGCUUAACUGCGAGACAGACACGUCGAGCAGGUACGAAAGUAGGUCAUAGUGAUCCGGUGGUUCUGAAUGGAAGGGCCAUCGCUCAACGGAUAAAAGGUACUCCGGGGAUAACAGGCUGAUACCGCCCAAGAGUUCAUAUCGACGGCGGUGUUUGGCACCUCGAUGUCGGCUCAUCACAUCCUGGGGCUGAAGUCGGUCCCAAGGGUAUGGCUGUUCGCCAUUUAAAGUGGUACGCGAGCUGGGUUUAGAACGUCGUGAGACAGUUCGGUCCCUAUCUGCCGUGGGCGUUUGAGAAUUGAGAGGGGCUGCUCCUAGUACGAGAGGACCGGAGUGGACGAACCGCUGGUGUUCGGGUUGUGAUGCCAAUUGCAUUGCCCGGUAGCUACGUUCGGAACUGAUAACCGCUGAAAGCAUCUAAGCGGGAAGCAGGCCUCGAGAUGAGUUCUCACUUUGACUUAGAGUCAACUGAAGGGCCGUUGAAGACUACAACGUUGAUAGGCGAGAUGUGGAAGUGCUGUGAGGCAUUAAGCUAACUCGUACUAAUUACCCGAGAGGCUUAACCAU
rnacentral:rRNA from 1 species